rnacentral:rRNA from 1 species
UAGGGAAUAUUGGUUAAUCUGCGAAAGCGGGAACCAGCAACGCCGCGUGCACGAUGAAGGCCUUCGGGUUGUAAAGUGCUUUUUGAGAGGAUGAGGAAGGACAGUACUCUUAGAAUAAGCUUCGGCUAACUACGUGCCAGCAGCCGCGGUAAAACGUAGGAAGCGAGCGUUAUCCGGAUUUACUGGGCGUAAAGCGUGCGUAGGUGGCCAAUUAAGUCNAAUGUGAAAUCCCCGAGCUUAACUUGGGAAUUGCAUUCGAUACUGGUUGGCUAGAGUAUGGGANAGGAUGGUAGAAUUCCAGGUGUAGCGGUGAAAUGCGUAGAGAUCUGGAGGAAUACCGAUGGCGAAGGCAGCCAUCUGGCCUAAUACUGACACUGAGGUACGAAAGCAUGGGGAGCAA